rnacentral:rRNA from 1 species
AGCGUGGGGGAAACGCCCGGUCCCAUACCGAACCCGGAAGCUAAGGCCCAUUGCGCCGAUGGUACUGCACUCGUGAGGGUGUGGGAGAGUAGGUCACCGCCGGAC